UAAAGCACCUUUUAGGUGUGUAUAAAGUGGCGAACGGCUGAGUAACACGUGGGCAACCUGCCCUCCUCUUGGGGAUAGCCUCGGGAAACCGAGGAUAAUACCCGAUACUUCAAUGUGGCCGCAUGACGACAUUGAGAAAGCUUUUGCGGAGAAGGAUGGGCCCGCGGCCUGUUAGCUUGUUGGUGGGGUAGAGGCCUACCAAGGCAAUGAUGGGUAGCUGGGUUGAGAGACCGACCAGCCAGAUUGGGACUGAGACACGGCCCAGACUCCUACGGGAGGCAGCAGUGGGGAAUCUUGCACAAUGGGCGAAAGCCUGAUGCAGCGACGCCGCGUGCGGGACGAAGGCCUUUCGGGUUGUAAACCGCUUUCAGCAGGGACGAGGCGAAAGUGACGUACCUGCAGAAGA
rnacentral:rRNA from 2 species